GGAGUGGUCCUCCGGAGGCAAGUCGCUCCAUCAGAAGAAGAGUGCGGAGGGGGACACUCUGAGGAAAACGCUGGUCACCCUCACCAACAUCGUGUUCCAUCGGGGGGAAUGACGCUCCACCCAGCCCACAUCACCAUGGACACCAGGCAGGGUGAAAGAUUAUUCGUCAGACUGGUCGGACGAGGAGAGUCCUAAGAAGCUGGCGGUGAACGGCGUGGGGGAGGCGAAGGAGGAGGAGGAGGAUGAGGAGGAGGAGGAUCAGGAUCAGGUAGAGGCGGUGCGAGUCCGAGCGAUCUAUGAUUACGAGGGCCAGGAGGCCGAUGAGCUCAGCUUUAAAGCAGGCGAGGAGCUGCUGAAGAUGGGGGAGGAGGACGAGCAGGGCUGGUGUAAAGGGCGGCUGAGCAGCGGCCAGGUGGGCCUCUACCCCGCCAACUACGUCCAGAACUCCUGAUGGCCCGCCCAGCCAAUGGUACCACACUCAAGAUGCCAGGACCAAUCACAAGCUAGUAGUGCUGACAUGGAGACGGUGAAACCAGACAGUUUUCUGGUGACUGACUGAUAAAACAACUUUUUUUCCUUUUUUUUAUCAGCCAGUUGGAAAAAAGUCAGUCUAUUGUGAAAGGCUGUUUACACAACCUGAGGUGAAUGACAUUGUUUUUUGAAAGAAGCUUUACAGGCAAAGAGAAAUCAAUGGAGGCCUGCCAAUGCUCUGUAGAGAAACAUGGACGCAAGUGAACAAACUCUGGAUCUUUUUUUCUGCUUGCUGCCAUCGUUUUUAGUUGCAAGAGUUAGAAAAUCCACAUUGAAUCUAAGAGGAGACAGCCCGGGUGCCGCAGCGGUAAGAGUCACCACCACGGCUGACAGUGAUUGGCUGAAACACAUGUCAAUCAGUUUCCGUUCUGCUUUUUUGUGGAAGAAACCAUUUCACAUUUUGGGAAUUAAAAAAUUAAUUAAAACGUUUUAUGCAGUUAGAUCACAGAAUAGAAGCAACUCAAAAACGGCUGAGAAAGCCUUCAGGUUCUGAAGACUAUCUUUGGAAGUAAAAGCCCAAUUGUAUUCGCACAAACGAUAUCAAUGAAAAUUCCUAAAACUCUGAUGUGCACGGCUAACAACAGGAGAGCUAGGCUUUGAUUGGGUUACCUUUAUUCAGAACUAGGCUAGUCUUCCCUAUUGUUUUAAGUCUGUAUGAUAAGCUAACCAGCAGUUGCUGACCUCUUGUGUUAGCUAUAUCUAUCUUCAAAUCUAACUCUAGGCAAGUGAAUAAGCUUUAUUUCCCAACAUGUGAAACACAUUUUUUAAACACCACUAUUUUCAUCAUUAAAGAAAGUAAUCGUCGUUGUUGGGGGAAACAUUUUAAAGCAAUUUUCAAUAGAUGUUGGCGCACUUUGAUCCAGCCCCUAGUGUCCGCUAGAGGAACUGCAGCUGGCGGCACCUUCAACUUCCUCUUCGCUCAGUUUUGGUGGUUCGUGCUUGGAUUAAAGAGAUAUAAAGACUGCCAGUGCCUUAGUCAGUGAGGCCAGACAUUUUACAGCCCCCCCCUGCUGUCUGACCGAGGAACUACAGCCACCUGAUCCUGACCCCUAGUCUGAUCCCAGUGGAAUCUGUGUCAGGACUUUAAAAUGUUUUACCUUCUGAUUGGUUCAUUUAGCUCGACAUUGGCAUGCUUUGGUUCAUUUGUGGUUUUUUAGGUGUGACACUGAAUUCACUUUCUUUCCUUUCUUUGUAUGUGAUAGCUGUAUGUUUAUAUUCAUUCAACAGAUUUUGAUUUUGGGACGGUGUAAACUAAUGCUACUUGUUUCUUUUUAAGAAUAGCAUUUUUACAGUCAAUUUAUUUACUUUCUAAUUUAUUGUCCUUUUUAAUUUAGCAAUCAUUUUCAAUGUUAGUCUGACUAAGGUGGGAAGUUGACUGUUAGCUUUGGGCCCUUUGACCUGUGGAAGGUGGUUUGUUUUGCCGUGCUUCGAUCAUGAAACACACAGAACACAAACACCUUAAAUAAUUGAUCAUAUUCUGUCCGCUUUGUUAUUUUUUCAUGUUUAAUUUUGUGGUUUGUGUGUGAGGGGGCUUCCUCCUUCCUGCUGAUGUGAGCGUCGCUACAGCUAAUCCACGUAGACGUCUGAAUAAUAAGAGAGGUAAUAGAGAUAAUUAACGCUAAUGUGAUGCUCCUUUUUUCCUUUUUCUUUACAAAAUGAUAACAUGUACAUAACAUUACGUGGGAAGCAACAAUAAAGCGCUUUCUGGA